AGAGUAGAUAUGAGCCAAGGAUGACUUGCCAAAGCAUAUGGCCUUUCCACUUGUUUAUCUUCUGGCAAGCUGUCCUUGGUUCACGUUUGCUCUCU
rfam:Prunus persica cultivar Lovell chromosome G1, whole genome shotgun sequence.